GACGAACGCUGGCGGCGUGCUUAACACAUGCAAGUCGAACGAAGAGCGAUGGACGCUUGCUUCUAUCAAUCUUAGUGGCGCACGGGUGAGUAACGCGUAAUCAACCUGCCCUUCAGAGGGGGACAACAGUUGGAAACGACUGCUAAUCCCGCAUACGAUCUAACCUCGGCAUCGAGGAUGUAUGAAAGGUGGCCUCUAUUUAUAAGCUCUCACUAAAGGAGGGGAUUGCGUCUGAUUAGCUAGUUGGAGGGGUAACGUCCCACAAAGGCGAGGCACAGUAGCAGGCAUGAGAGGAGAAAAGGCCAAAUUGGGACGGAGACACGGCCAAGAACACUACGGGAGGGAGAAGGGGGGAAUCCUUCGGAAGAGAAGAAAGGCGGACGGAGGAACGACGCGUGAGAGAUGACGGCAGUAGGGUUGUAAAGCUCAGGUAAUCGGGACGAAAGGAAUUCUUGCGAAUAGUUAGAAGGAUUGACGGUACCGGAAGAGAAAGCCACGGCUAACUACGUG
rnacentral:rRNA from 1 species